AUGCAGAGGGGACUGGGGGCUCUGCUGGGGCUUCUGUGGGUGCAGUUUUGCUGGGUGAGAGGGCAGCAGGUGGAGCAGAGUCCUUCAGCCCUGAGGCUCCAGGAGGGAACCAGCACUACUCUGAGGUGCAAUUUUUCCACCAGCAUGACCAAUGUGCAGUGGUUCCGACAGAAUCCUGGGGGCAGCCUCAUCAGUCUGUUUUACCUGGCUUCAGGGACAAAGCAGGAGGGAAGGUUAAAGGCAACAGUGGAUCCUAAGGAGCGCUACAGCACCCUGCACAUCUCCACCUCCCAGCUGGAAGACUCAGGCACCUACCUCUGUGCAAUGAGGCACAGUGCUCCCAGGGGACCUGCAGCCUGUCACCAAACUGCAGCUGCAGCCACAGCCUCUGCCUUGGGGAGGACUUUCACAGCAGCCUCUGCUCAGCUAUGA